CGUGCUUAACACAUGCAAGUCGAACGAGGUCUUCUUGACAGAGGCUUCGGCCAAUUGAUAGGAAUACCUAGUGGCGGACGGGUGAGUAACGCGUGAGGAACCUGCCUUGGAGUGGGGAAUAACAGUUAGAAAUAGCUGCUAAUACCGCAUAAUGCAACUAAGUCGCAUGGCUUUGGUUGCCAAAGAUUUAUCGCUCUAAGAUGGCCUCGCGUCUGAUUAGAUAGUUGGCGGGGUAACGGCCCACCAAGUCGACGAUCAGUAGCCGGACUGAGAGGUUGGCCGGCCACAUUGGGACUGAGACACGGCCCAGACUCCUACGGGAGGCAGCAGUGGGGAAUAUUGGGCAAUGGGCGCAAGCCUGACCCAGCAACGCCGCGUGAAGGAAGAAGGCCCUCGGGUUGUAAACUUCUUUUAUUCGGGACGAAACAAAUGACGGUACCGAAUGAAUAAGCCACGGCUAACUACGUGCCAGCAGCCGCGGUAAUACGUAGGUGGCAAGCGUUAUCCGGAUUUACUGGGUGUAAAGGGCGUGUAGGCGGGAGAGCAAGUCAGACCUGAAAUUCCAGGGCUCAACCCUGGAACUGCGUUUUGAAACUGUUCUUCUUGAGUGAGGAGAGGCAGGCGGAAUUCGGUGUGUAGCGGUGAAAUGCGUAGAUAUACGGAGGAACACCAGUGGCGAAGGCGGCCUGCUGGACAUUAACUGACGCUGAGGCGCGAAAGCGUGGGGAGCAAACAGGAUUAGAUACCCUGGUAGUCCACGCUGUAAACGAUGGAUACUAGGUGUGGGGGGUCUGACCCCCUCCGUGCCGCAGCUAACGCAAUAAGUAUCCCACCUGGGGAGUACGAUCGCAAGGUUGAAACUCAAAGGAAUUGACGGGGGCCCGCACAAGCGGUGGAGUAUGUGGUUUAAUUCGAAGCAACGCGAAGAACCUUACCAGGGCUUGACAUCCCGCUGACCGGUGUAGAGAUACACUUUUCCCUUCGGGGACAGCGGUGACAGGUGGUGCAUGGUUGUCGUCAGCUCGUGUCGUGAGAUGUUGGGUUAAGUCCCGCAACGAGCGCAACCCUUAUUGUUAGUUGCUACGCAAGAGCACUCUAACGAGACUGCCGUUGACAAAACGGAGGAAGGUGGGGACGACGUCAAAUCAUCAUGCCCCUUAUGUCCUGGGCCACACACGUACUACAAUGGCGGUCAACAAAGAGAGGCAAAACCGCGAGGUGGAGCAAAUCUCAAAAAGCCGUCCCAGUUCGGAUUGCAGGCUGCAACCCGCCUGCAUGAAGUUGGAAUCGCUAGUAAUCGAGGAUCAGCAUGCCGCGGUGAAUACGUUCCCGGGC
rnacentral:rRNA from 1 species